CGUAGGUGGCAAGCGUUGUCCGGAUUUAUUGGGCGUAAAGCGAGUGCAGGCGGCUCGAUAAGUCUGAUGUGAAAGCCUUCGGCUCAACCGGAGAAUUGCAUCAGAAACUGUCGAGCUUGAGUACAGAAGAGGAGAGUGGAACUCCAUGUGUAGCGGUGAAAUGCGUAGAUAUAUGGAAGAACACCGGUGGCGAAGGCGGCUCUCUGGUCUGUUACUGACGCUGAGGCUCGAAAGCAUGGGUAGCGAACAGGAUUAGAUACCCUGGUAGUC
rnacentral:rRNA from 1 species